GGAAAUGUGGCUUAGUGGUAGAGCACUUGCCUCACAUGCAUGAAGCCCUGGGUUCCAUUCCUCAGUACCA
rnacentral:tRNA from 1 species